CAGAGAACGCUCGUACGGGCUCUUCGUGUUCACCGUACUGGUCCUUUGCAGGCAGGAUCGCAGCUUUUUUCUUUUCUGCAAUGCCGCAGCGAUGUGCUGCCGUAGGCUGCAGUAAUGCCAGCGGGAAGCCUCCAAACGUGCGAUUUUUUAGGUUUCCUGCCGCGACGCUUCAGGCAACGAGAAGAAGGAAAUGGGUGCAAGCAAUACAUCGCGUCAACGUCGACGGAUCGCCGUGGGAACCGACCGCCAACUCCCGAGUCUGCAGCAAUCACUUCGUAACAGGAGCGCCAUCACGCUUUAUCACCCACCCGGACUACGUGCCGUCGGUUUUCAAGCACACGGCAAUGAGAUGCCCUGGGUCCACCGCUCGCUUUGACAGACUGAAGAAACGGCAAGCUUCAAGAUUGGCCGAUGCAAGUAGCCAAGCUGGUAGCAGUGCAGCCACGUCAGCUGUUGAACACGGGACCCUACCGAGCGUAGCAGCAAGCCGGGUGGGAGUUGAACCCGGGCCUGUGGAUUGCGAGACGAGCGCGCUACCGACACCACGGCGGCUCCACGGUUCUGACUGAUUAAGGCGUGCCUAGUGCUUGCGUCAUUGGUCACGUGACGGCGCAGCCAAUGGGGAGGAGGUGGCCUCGCGUCAUGAGUGUAUAAAAUGAAUGUAUAAAAUAAACAAAAAAGCAUUAAUGGCCACUUAAACGCCACCGAGCGGUCCUUCGAGUUCUGAACUCCUUGGGGGCAAGUGAGUGCAUUCAGACGCUUGGCGUAUUUUGAUUGAGCCUUACCGUGGUGCACUUAAAACGCAGGCGAGAGCUUGGGCGGGCAAGGCACGCGCCGAAAGAGAAACAUUUCACCAAAGCGACUAUAAUGCUUUCACACGUAAGCAGUGUUAAGUGUCUCUGCCGAACUUAAAACCGAUGCCUAGCAAACCAUGCAUCUGUAAAGCAUAUCGUGAAAUAAUAAAAUUGAUUGAUUGAUUGAAUUUAAGCUGUGUCUCGAAAUGAAGUAAACUAUUCCCUGAAACACCCGGUACACAA